AACGCUGGCGGCAGGCCUAACACAUGCAAGUCGAGCGCACUCUUCGGAGUGAGCGGCGGACGGGUUAGUAACGCGUGGGAAUAUACCCUUCACUAUGGAAUAGCCUCGGGAAACUGAGAGUAAUACCAUAUACGCCCUUCGGGGGAAAGAUUUAUCGGUGAAGGAUUAGCCCGCGUAAGAUUAGAUAGUUGGUGGGGUAAUGGCCUACCAAGUCUACGAUCUUUAGCUGGUUUGAGAGGAUGAUCAGCAACACUGGGACUGAGACACGGCCCAGACUCCUACGGGAGGCAGCAGUGGGGAAUCUUAGACAAUGGGCGCAAGCCUGAUCUAGCCAUGCCGCGUGAGUGAUGAAGGCCUUAGGGUCGUAAAGCUCUUUCACCUGUGAAGAUAAUGACGGUAGCAGGAAAAGAAACCCCGGCUAACUCCGUGCCAGCAGCCGCGGUAAUACGGAGGGGGUUAGCGUUGUUCGGAAUUACUGGGCGUAAAGCGUACGUAGGCGGAUUAAUCAGUCAGAGGUGAAAUCCCAGGGCUCAACCCUGGAACUGCCUUUGAUACUGUUAGUCUUGAGUUCGAGAGAGGUGAGUGGAAUUCCAAGUGUAGAGGUGAAAUUCGUAGAUAUUUGGAGGAACACCAGUGGCGAAGGCGGCUCACUGGCUCGAUACUGACGCUGAGGUACGAAAGUGUGGGGAGCGAACAGGAUUAGAUACCCUGGUAGUCCACACCGUAAACGAUGAAUGCCAGACGUCGGGUAGCAUGCUGCUCGGUGUCACACCUAACGGAUUAAGCAUUCCGCCUGGGGGAGUACGGUCGCAAGAUUAAAACUCAAAGGAAUUGACGGGGGCCCGCACAAGCGGUGGAACAUGGUGGUUUAAUUCGAAGCAACGCGCAGAACCUUACCAACCCUUGACAUACUUGUCGCGGAUCGUAGAGAUACUUUCCUUCAGUUCGGCUGGACAAUGUACAGGUGCUGCAUGGCUGUCGUCAGCUCGGGUCGUGAGAUGUUCGGUUAAGUCCGGCAACGAGCGCAACCCACAUCUUUAGUUGCCAGCAGUUCGGCUGGGCACUCUAGAGAAACUGCCCGUGAUAAGCGGGAGGAAGGUGUGGAUGACGUCAAGUCCUCAUGGCCCUUACGGGUUGGGCUACACACGUGCUACAAUGGCAGUGACAAUGGGUUAAUCCCAAAAAGCUGUCUCAGUUCGGAUUGGGGUCUGCAACUCGACCCCAUGAAGUUGGAAUCGCUAGUAAUCGCGUAACAGCAUGACGCGGUGAAUACGUUCCCGGGCCUUGUACACACCGCCCGUCACACCAUGGGAGUUGGUUCUACCCGACGACGCUGCGCUAACCUUCGGGAGGCAGGCGGCCACGGUAGGAUCAGCGACU
rnacentral:rRNA from 1 species